UGACGAGCACAUUUCUUUUACCACAUCCAAAAUUGGCUCCCUUAUAGAUGUGAACCAGUCCAAGGAUCCCGAAGGUUUGCGAGUGUUUUAUUACCUGGUCCAGGACCUGAAGUGUUUGGUCUUCAGCCUUAUCGGCUUGCAUUUCAAGAUUAAGCCUAUCUAGGCUGGGGCGUUUCACUUUUUCUGUGUGCUUGGGUGUGUGGUGUUUCAGUCCUAAUGUCAGAAGACUUUUGUGUAAACUAGGAAAGUAUUUUUUUACAUGCUGUCUAAGUGAUUGUCUUUAAUAAAGAUGUAGGCCA